UACAGAGGUGGCAAGCGUUGUUCGGAAUUACUGGGCGUAAAGGGCGCGUAGGCGGUUCGUUAAGUCCUGUGUGAAAUCCCCCGGCUCAACUGGGGAACUGCACAGGAAACUAGCGGGCUUGAGUUCGGGAGAGGGAAGCGGAAUUCCAGGUGUAGCGGUGAAAUGCGUAGAUAUCUGGAGGAACACCGGUGGCGAAGGCGGCAUCCUGGACCGGUAUUGACGCUGAGGAGCGAAAGCCAGGGGAGCAAACGGG
rnacentral:rRNA from 1 species